GAAUGGGGCAACCCACCUGACAGUUUGAUAUAAUUGCCGCUUGCGGCAGCUUAUAUCUUGCUGAAACAGGUACUUAAUUCCUGAAUACAUAGGGUUUUAAGAGCAAACCUGGGGAACUGAAACAUCUAAGUACCCAGAGGAAAGGAAAUCAAUUGAUACUCCCCUAGUAGCGGCGAGCGAACGGGGACCAGCCGAGCCAUGAGAAUGACCAGAACAAUCUGGAAAGAUUGACCAUAGUGGGUGACAGUCCCGUAUGGGAAGUUCGAUUGGACGUAUUAAGUAGGGCGGGACACGUGAAAUCCUGUCUGAAGAUCGGAGGACCAACUUCGAAGGCUAAGUACUCCUUACUGACCGA
rnacentral:rRNA from 1 species